AUCAUUUUUAAUUUUUACUCUAAAUUUUGUUGCUUUUUGAUUUGUUUUUUAUUUUUAUUUUAUUUUUUGUAAAAUGUUUUAAUUUUUUUUGUUUUGUUGAAAAGUUUAAAAUUUGAUUCAUGAACUGGAUUAGUACCCAGGUAAUCAAAGUUUAUUAAUGCGGGAGUAAAGUUGAGUUUAAACCGAAAAAAUAUUGGCUUGACCUUAAAUUUUUCUUUGGAAUAUGUAAAUUUUGGAGAGUCCUCCUUAUUUUUUUUUUUUUGGCUCAUGUAUGAUUGUUUGUUUUUUAUAUUUUGUGUAAUUUUUUUUAUUUUAAAAUUAAAUGCAGAUAUAUACUUGGUUUAUAAAAAAAGUUUUUAUGUAUUACUAUUACUAAUGUUAACGGAUUGCUAAUUAGAUGUUAGUGUGAAGUUGGAAAAGAAAGUAAUUUUUUUUAUAUGUGAUGAUGA
rnacentral:rRNA from 1 species